CUGUGGAAGGAAUGACGUGGUUUUCAAACAUUUGGCUCAUUGUGGAGAGGGUAUUUUUUCCACACGGUAGAAACGGGAGUGCUUUUCAGAGGCCACACUAGGUUAAGAGAAUCUCUGUUGUUAGCCGGCAUGUGGUGCACACCUUUAACUGCAGCACUAGUAGGCAGAGGCAGCUGGAGCUCUGCGAAUUUGAGGCCAGCCUGGCAUACAGAGCAAGUUCUAGGCUAGUCAGGGCUACAUAGUGAGGCCUCAUCACAAAACAACUGAAUAAGGAACCAACCACAGGCCACCACUGAAACUGUCACUGUUGUGUUAGGUCGGAGGAAGCAGGAGACUAGAGACACUGACUCAGCAAACUGGACUGACUGUUUCAGACAUCAGUGGGCAGGCACAGUGGUAACGGAGUGUCUGCCAAAGGGGAAGGGAUCCUCGGGGUUAUAUGGGAAGCUUGGGAAAUACAACCCCUGGGGCUACAUCCAGACCUGCAGUUUCUCCCUCCUGGAGCUGGUAGUCCAGGCGAGGACAUUUUAUCUUUAGAAACUGCUUUGCCCAGCUGUCAUGAUGUGAGUCGUAGUCAACGACUGAGUUUGGCAAUGGCAAUGACGGGGCGACAAAAUGGCUCAGCAGGUAAGAACACUUGCUGCACAAGCCUGGAAAUCCAAACCCCACGCCUGCCGCCCCUGUGAAAGAGCCAGAUGUGAUGGCAGUUUGAGACACACCGGGAUCCAGCUCCCAGUCUACCCACUACAGGCUCACCUUUCACCUGACCUAUCGCUGGGCCCUCCAACCAACACGGGCACAGUCGGUAAGUUUCCCUUCUCCUGGUCAGUGUAACCCCUUCCUUGGAUCCAUGGGAGUGACUGCUGAGCAUCUGGCACCCCUCUGGUGUUCUUGGAGGUGGAGAAACCUCCAACCACAGUCUUCAAGGAUACGGCUGACCCUCAUCGCCCACACUCAUCUCUGGCCACUCUCUUGAGCAUGGUUUUUCACGUGUUGGCACCACCAAGUCCUGAUACCAGGUAACCAUGUCUCUCUCUUUCAGGCUUGGAGCCCUCCGGCCCUGCUCUUUGUGUGACAACACACCAGACAGCCUGUGCCCAUUUAGUUUGAUCCUCCCUGAAUUCCCGGGAUUCUAGGGAUUCCAGGCUAUUGGAUCUUCUGUCUCUGCCUCACUCAUGGGAACUGUGUCAUUGUCAGGAUCUCCAAGCUCCCCACUGGAUGCGUCUCAGAAAACCUCAAACUUCUACACUCAGCACCCAACUUAAGAGCUUCCAAAAUUGUAUGCCUUUUCAGUCAAGUAUGGACUACUCAUUAGAUAAUCAAUUAAAAUGUCUGCCUACCGAUAGCCUGGAUCCCAAUCUUAUACUUUGUCAACUUUUGCCAGCAAUUAGGCAGGUUGAAGGAGGUGUCUCAUAUCCAAGUAUUUUCUUGCCUUAGUUCCAAAGGCAAGAAUCCUCCAUUUGUUCUUCCUGUCCCCCAACUCUGCUCCUUCUCUCUAAGAAAUCUGAACUAGAGGAAACUUCCACUAUUCAGGACCCUGCUAACAAGCCUCCAUUCUACUGACCUCAACACACAACUGCUCAUCUUCAGCUCCCUCAGCUGCUUCCUCCUCUCCAGUAACAGGCCAUUCUAACUGACUGUAGUACCCACUUUCACUCCAUUACUUGCUUCACUCCACUAUGGAACCCCCUUCCUCUCUCUACCCAGCCCUGUAGAUGGAAGCUUCUGUCUCAUCUGGUUCCACAGCUGCUCAGUCCCAAAGAAACAUACAGAAGCUUAUAUUAAUUAUAAACAGUUUGGCCUAUUAGCUCAGGGUUAUUAUAAACUAGCUCUUACAACUUAAAUUAACCCAUAAUUCUUGUCUAUCUUUAGCCACAUGGCUUGGUACCUUUUCUCAGUAGGGCAUUUUCAUCUUGCUUCCUCUGCAUCUCGCUGGUGACUGACUCUACCUUUCCUUUUCCCAGAAUUUUCUUAGUCAGAUUGCUCAGCCUAUACUUCCUGCCUGGCUACUGGCCAACUGGCGUUUUAUUAAGUUAAUAUGAGUGACAAAUCUUUACAGUGUACAAGAGCAUUAUCCCACAGUAUUUCCCCUUUUUUCUUUUCAAAACAAGAACUUUGAAUCUACUCUUCCUUGUUUAGCUUUUUUUAAUGACCAUUGUCCAUAACAACUUGUAACCAAUACUCCAAACAAAGAAAAACAUCCAUAAUCCAUUUUUGAGUAAUGUGGGCAUGGUUUUCUAGGCUACUUCCUGCUGACUGGGGCCACUGAUAAUCUUAUGGAGACCCAAAGAAAGUUUAGGAUUAUGGUCAAGUCCUGACUGGACUAUUCUGUGAGGCUGGAUCAUCUCAGUCAGCAGUCUUAAAACUGUUCUGGAUGUAGAACUCAUAGGAAACUGCAACAGAGCUGCUCUAAAACCAGUUGUAAGAGCUAGUUAAUAAUAAUAAUAAACCUGAGCUAACAGGCCAAACAGUUUAUAAUUAGUAUAAACCUCUGUGUGUUUCUUUGGGACUGAGAAGCUGUGGGACUGGGUGGGACAGAAACUCCCAUCUACAAUACAUGUUUGGAUGGCAGAGAACAACUCUGGAAGCUAGUUUUCCCUCUGUGAUAUGGGUCCCAGGGAUCAAACUCAAACUGAAAGGCUUGUCUGAAAGUGUUUUUACUCACUGAGUCAUCUUUCUGGACUCUAAAUUAUCCUUUAAUAAAGAUGUAAACUAUUAGCCAGCCAUGGCAGUACAUACCUUGAAUCCCACCACUUGGGAGGCAGAGGCAGGUGGAUCUCUGUGAGUUCAAGGUCAACCUGGUCUACAAAACAAGUUGCAGAUCAGACAGUUCUACACAGAGAA